ensembl:lncRNA
GUGAGAUUGUGUGGAUGUGGCGGUGUGUUUGAAAUGGAGGAGAUUUUGCAGAGUGUUGUUUCAAAGGGUGUGAUUGAAUGGGUGUAAUUGUGAAUUAGAUGAGCCUGAGUUUAAUCGGUGUGUCGCUCUCUUCUCUAGAGCAUGGUGUGUAUUUUUAUUAUUAAUGUAGGAUGAUGGCGCCUUGAUGCAAGUCUGCGCUGAUUUGAUGCUCUGUGAAUGGAGUUACAUCACAUCGUGCACACAGGACAACAUACAGUGCUGGUGUCUUUAUGAAAUUACCGUGGAAAAUAAAGGAGUGUGAUUUAAUGCGAAUGUUGCUAAACUCGGGGAUGGUUUCUGACAGGUUGGGUAACUGUGUGUUGUUGAGCAGGUGGAGGAGGAGAUAGUGGCUGAUAAAGCGGUGAGACUGAUUCUGAAACUGAAAGGCAGACGUGGCGAGGUAACCCGGGAGGAGGAGCCGAGUGACGUCAUUUGGGGAGACCGCCCCAAGCAAACUGUCUGAACGAGGAGGUCAUUCCAGCCCAACACCAACUGAGACGCCAAGUAGUGAAAGUAAACCGUGGGUGAGAACAAAGCGUGAGGUCUCAGGUAAAAAGGACGAGUGUCUCAGCACAUAUGGUGGCUUAGAACUAGAUUAUGUUAAUGGUUCUACAACGGCAUUUACGUUUGAUUUAUGUGAUGUUAUAAAUUGUAAGGGAGCAAGCAGUGGCUGGAGAGGCUAUAACGUGUGGGUCUGUUGGGAUUAUGCGGUAAACACACAUUGCGAAAGGGGAAGUCGGCCUUAUGAAAGCUGGUGCCGGAACUGGAACCAGGUGAGGGGUUACACGGGAGAAAAUUGGGAGCCGCCAGAAGUAGGAUUAGAGAAUGAGCUAAGACUUCAGAGGGAUUAUAGUUCAUCUCAAAAUCCAUUGACUUUGUCAUUGGGAAAUUGGCGUCGUAAAAACCCUGUAUAUUUAGUUUUAGGUGUAGAAACUGUAGGAACUGAUCCAAAGGGGUUAAUUAAGGUUAACUUUCUUGGUAAGGCAAAUCCCAUAAAACUCGUUCGAGAAGAUGCAGGAACAUACAGGACUAACAAUUCACCAAAUGCUGUUAUCAAUGUUACAGGAAAAGGGGAAAGCGGG